AAAUAUCUCUGGAUGGUUGUACUCCUCUUGACUGUCACCGGUUGUUGGAAGGGCCCACAGUGCCAGAGGCAGAUGUGUGACAGAUUGCAGCAGAAGGGUACUCUGACAAAACAAUGUCUGACAUGGAAAUUUAUACGAAACAGAGGUGCGACACUGAAUUACUCCAUGUGGGAUAAAAACAGCACCCACUGGCAUUCACUGAUGCUUGCUGAAAAUUUGUGGAGACCAAACCAUGGACAACAGCAGAGGAGGCUGCGGGUGAUGCUUUUCAACAGUGGUGAUUGCACCUCUGCAUUUUUAUUUAUUUAUUUAUUUUAUGAGCACACUAUGUACACUCUUGUUCAUUUCUAUUGAAAAUGCAUAGUGUAGCUGAGAAUUUGCUCCAUCAAACAGUAUUACUGUACUCUUUUUAUCUGCUCAAGUUUCCAUGAAUAUAAAAAGGAGGCAUUACUUUUGGAAUGACCUACGUACAUUCUCACUUUUUCUUUAUUAUUGUAUGUGUCGGAAGCAAGAUAAGUUCUAAUUUUAUGUCUUUAUGUGAUAAAUUUCAGAUUUAUGAAGACAGGCUAAUUGUAUUUGCUUGUAAUAUUCACUGAAGUAACACUAAAGUAAGACUUCAAUAGUGGUUCAGUGCUACAGACAGUAUUAAUGUAAUGAGUAAAAAAAAUGAUAUAGAGCCGAGGCAGUUCCAAAAUAAGUGUUAUUGGAACAUUAAAAAUGUUCAGAGGAACCUUUCUGUCCCCCAAAUCAUCUUCACACAGGUAUAUUUUUGCUCAUGGGAAAAGUUCAAUUUAGAGUGAGAGGAAUACCUACGGGGCUAGAAAGGUCAGCAAAUAGAACUUCCCUGGUGUAGCAGCUAAACAGUUUUAUGUAACGUUGAUAGUCAAUUUAACAUAAUCAUGUAAUUGCACCUGCAAAAACAGGGAGCGUACCUUGAGUGAGACUAGUUGAUAACAUGCAUGAAAUAAAUAGUGUCAUAGUAGAGAAGAGUUUGCAAGUAUAGAAGUAGCAAACAUUCACGAUUUUAAGCCAUAAUGAUGCAAUCUCCUCUCAUUUUCAUAACCUUUACUCGCUGUAACAGCAGCAGGACCAACACAAUGAGAAAAUGUUACAAAAAGAUUGCUCAUCCAUCUCCAAAGAUCUAGGCUUACAGAAAAACACCCCACAGAAGGGAUCUUCAGCAAAAGGUCCUUCCUCAGUGGCAGUCAGCCCUCAAAUGAGGUCUAAGAGUUAGAGCCAGGCUCCACCCCUUUCAAUCGCACAGGUGAAUUGCCUCCUCCUGUGCUCCCAGGGUUGACCAGGUCUCUCCUUCCAGAUGCUCAGUUGUUCAGGCCGUGACUCAGCAGUUCUCAUACACUUAUGUAGAAAUAAGAAAUACAUGUAGCAUCAUACUGUGCAAUGCGUAUGUACCAGAUGAUGGAUAUAACAUUUACAGUAAAAUAUUCAACAAUAUUUCCAGGACCGAUAUAGUUCCUCUAGAGAUUAACUGCUUGUUUCUUUAGGUACUGCACUGAGGUAUGCCAGCAUAAUCUGAAUACCUGGCAACAGGAUUACAAAUUGCAUGUCUGAGUCUUAAUAGCAAACUCAUUGCUCUAAUGAGAAAAAUUACUUUCCUUAAUAUUAGGGAGAAUGGAAGAAGAAACAUUCAGACAUUCUCUGCCUAUAAUUAGGCUAUUAAAAUCACAUUCAGCUACAUAAAUUCUAAUGAAUUAAUUUUUAAAAAUUCUGCAGACCAGUUUCUCAGUGAUCAUAUCUGAGAACGCUAAAUGAUUGACAUAUCUGGAAAUCAAACCAUGUAUUUAGUAGCCUCAGCUCACAGGUUUCUUGAAUCUACAUGCAAGAUAUAAGGGUAGUUUGCAUGAUAUCUGAAGACUGUGCAGUGAUCUCAUGAUCACUGUGCUUCUGUGACAGACAGCAGUUAAGUGCAAGCUUGGGUUAUGUUGGAGGACAUCUGAGCUGGUGGCACCAGCAGGGGUUAAUGUGGAUGAGAACAGUGAAUCUCCUGUCCUAGCCGAGACUCCUCCUCCCUACCCUCAAACCUAUUUGACCUGAAGUGAUAUCAGAUGGUUAUCUCCAGGCAGACAGGUGAUCUAGGGUCCUUCCUAAAGGCUCUUAUGCCAAGUAAAGCAAGAAUGGUGGCCUCUGCAGAGAAACAUACUGCUGUCAGAGGGAAAGAAUGGACAGUGGGUGAGGGAUCGUUGAUUACUUCAGUCCACUCCUUGACUCAGGCAAUUUAUGACUGUAUUGACAUCACCUGGCAGUUAAUUUAAGCUGCUAUAUAUGGAAUGUGAAUUUUCAGCUUGACUACUGAUUUUAAUUGCAGUUCAGUAUCUGAGGAUAGCAAAGGUGAGAAACUCACAUCUUUUAUUAGAAAUAAAUCUGAUUUAAAUAUUCUUCAUUUCUGGCCAUAGAAUAACAUAGCCACAAUAGGCAAAAAACAGUAUUAGCUUAGAAGAUGACAAAUUGGAUAAUUUUUUCAAUUUAUUGUUCACAUCAACCAUGAAGGCCACCUCAGGAACAAUAAAUCAGAUUAAAUCCUAAUGUAUGAUUUAAACAGGUAAUUUACUCCUUUGCUGGUAUCCUUAAAACAUCCAAAUACUGAGUUUAAAACCUUUAAAUAUGUCAGUGGAGUGUACUUAUGUAAAUCCUUUAAGCGGAAGGAAAAAAGGAUAUAUUCUGCUUAUAAUAUACUAAGUAGGCAGAUGUCCCUAAAGUAGAUUUCACUUCAAUGCAAGGCUUUGUAAAACCAAUUAGAAAGUGUACGCCGUAUUGCCUCAACAUCCUGUUAUCAAGUGCUGUUGAAAAUUAAUGAUCAUAAAUGAAAUAUGUAAAGAAGCACUGAAAAUAAUCUUUCAAAAUAAAGUGUUAAAAUAUAUACUGUACAGAAUGUCCACUGGGUGUUCAGCAAUGCAAGCUCUCAGAGAUGUAUUUCUGUGUUUGCAUAGUGUAGCAAUAGAUUUCUACACCUUCUGAAGUGCUGAGAAGCAUUUCCACUGCAAUGUUUUUCUUGUGAACAUUAGCACCAACACCAGAUGCCUGACCACAUUUUAGUAAAAAGUAUUCAGAUGUACAGUAGACUCUGUUAGCAAAACUGUGGUUGUACAUUGAUAAAUAGAAUGGUUUGGAAGCAGACAGCCAACCAGAAAUGGGAUCAAACAGUCUUUGCAGCUCCCACUGUCUCUACACAGACUGCUGCCAAUGUGGCAGCUUCCUUCCUGCUCCUGUUGCAGGUACCUCUGCUGAGGCUGCUGUUGGCAGAUGAUCUCUGGUGGUGUCUGAUCUUGACAAAGGUACGGGAUAACAAUUUUGCAAGCACUGAACCACAGGAUCUGGGAGAAUGCUUCAGUUCCACAAUUUAGAUGUGGACAAAAAGACAAGCCACUGACUUUCCCAGGAGUUGAAUGGUUACUAAUACAUUAGAUACGCCUCAUCUUAACUGCAAGUCACUGGAACUGAUAAAGGAAUUAUUAAGUGGAAUACAAAGAUAUCCAUUAUGCUGUUUUGACUAAUAAUGACAAUAUUGUUGUAUUUUUUGCUUUAUUUUGUAACAUCUCAAACUCUUAUUUUGAGAACAAAAAGGUACAUUGGAAUAUCUAGUCUAAUGUAUUGAAGUACAUGGGCUGUUGAAUGUCAAAACUUUUUCCCUCAUUGAAACCAAUAACCUGUAUUUUCAGAAGGGAAAAAAUGUGACUAUAAAGACUGUUAAAGACAGAAAAAUUCAUC
ensembl:lncRNA